GCGGGGAGAAAUCUAAAGAUGAGAGCGAAAAGACAUCUGCUAGAGAUCUCUCCACAGCUGACUUGUGAUCCUGCAGCUACAAAAAUCACACUAGGAAUCUCAUUAUCUAUUGGAUAUACACACAGCUUAACAUGGGGAAGAAGGACUAUAGAAGACAUCUAGUCAGCCGUGUGCAGUCCUUCAUCAUACAUACGUAGGGAUGAAGUCUGAAGGAGGAUCAAGUCAGCGAUGGAGCUAGCUGUCCCCACUGGUUUUCAGUUCUCCCAGGUGUGGUAUCAGCAGGUAGCAAAAGAGCACCAUUUUAACCACUCCCUCCAAAGGCUGGUCUUUCUGCUGUACGCCUGAUAUCAGAUAGCUUCUGCAUAAAGUCAUUCAUGUAUUUGCUACUUUUCAUUGCAGUGGUGGAGCUGAUAUUCAUUAAUUAGUUUGGAGGUUGGUUGUUAACUUGAGUUUAUAGAGGUCAAAGAGAUUGAGGGAUAUAGCUGGUCCUCAGCAUUUGCUUCUCUUUAUUGCAAUUACAUAUAUUUAUGUUUAUAUUUAUGCUGCAACAUUUUGCAAGAACAUGGAGAUUCUGAACAUUUGAACCCUAGUAAAUACAUUUUUAACAACACUUUUGACAGUGGGUAGAUGGGGGCUAAUUGGAAUAGUUCCCUUGAAGAAUGCCUUCUCUUAAAGACAGGUGGAGAAAUUAAAGAGCGUUUAGAAAUCCAUUUCCUAGCAGGUUUUCUAAGGGCCAAGGCUUAAAAGAUCUGCUGAUCUUAUUUACUUACUGAGUACUUUCACCUGGUACAGAAUGCACAGUGCUCAAAGGUGUAUCCUUUCCCUCACCUACUCAGU